rnacentral:lncRNA from 10 species
CUCGCCUCUCACCCUCCUCUGCUCUGCCCACACGGGCCUCUGUCCUCCAGGGCUCCGCCCUUGCUGUGCCCUGCCUGGAAGGCUCUCUUCACCCUCCUGACUCUGCUGCAUCCUGCAGAUCUCAGCCCCAGGGGCCCGAGGAAGAUGGGCUGGAGUCCCCUUGGGAGAAACUUUUCCAGAACCACCUGCUCUGCCCUGGGCAGUCAGAGGUGAGAAUGGACAGGACAGGGUGGGAAGCCCACCCAGUGGGGUGGAAGGCCCAGGCCCGCCUUCUCCGAGCCAGCAUAGCCGUUGACCACCGUGCCCCAAGCAAGACUGCCCUGACUCGGCCACCAGGUCCUCGUCUUCAAAGGCACUGCUGGACAUUUCCCAAAUUUCAGGCAUUUUGGUGGCAUCUGGAUUAUCACCUAUUUCACAUUUGUCUUUAACUCACUUUUAAAGGACUUCAAUCAAUGCAUUUAUCAAGGAAGCUUUACAUCAUUACUGUACAUGGAAAACCAGUAGCACUUGCCAAAACCAGAAAGUAACGGCAAGUACAAAGAAAACAAAGCGCUAUCAGUACAUUCUAGCACGCUGAUGUCAACAGCCCUGAGUUUGAGACCUUCUCUCUAUUAAAAAGAGACAGUGACAAAUGUUACAGUCAUUAAAGACAUGUUAGCCUCAAACCAAGACCUUUUCCUUGAUAUAAUCAGACUUGAACAAAAACUGAAAAAGGCCCAAAUUGCAGUG